rnacentral:lncRNA from 1 species
GACCACCUGGCUCCCAGAAGUCACUCAGGGAGGGGCCGCUAUUACUAAGGUGCCAUGAAAAAGGAGAAAAAUAGGAGUUUUCUCACCACCCCUUCAAUAUGGUCUUCGGAAUUCUCCCCGAAAUGACUCUCCUAGGACCCUGGUUUGCAGCCAGCUGUUAGGGAUCGCCAUAAACAGCAUAGCUUUAACAAGCCGAAGCAGCCCUGUGCUGUGCGGCACAGUGAAGCCCCAGCUUCACUGCUUAGAAGUUCCCAUAACUCAAGUCUCUCAUACUCUAGGCAAGCUUCACCAAUGACACACUGUGUGUCUCACGGAGACUUGGCCCGGGAACAGAAGUGAAGCCAACUGAGUUUCUUUACCACUGACUGCCCUUGAAAGUUUUAACCUGUCCUGCUUUGUCCCAGACUGGACCUACAGCUCUCGCCCAAGCAUCCCUACCGCGUUCCCCAGGAAGUGAAAGGGGUCCUGGAUUGCUAACCUCCCCUCGCGCGCCGGCUCCAACGGCCCCCUCCACCACCACCACCACCACCACCACCACCACCACCACCACCACCCCCACCGUGAGCUCUAUAGACACUGCUUUAAUUUUCAGAAGUAACUGAUGCAAAACUUCACAACUUUAUUAUAAACAGGAAAAAAAAACGACACAGAAGAUACAUGGAGGCAGUAGUGGCCUGUUCAUCAAGCCUUCCAGACCUCCAGGUGGGAAGAUGGAGGUAGGUGAGCCCAGCCUGCCAACCACCAACUCUGAAAGCCUCUACUGCCAUCUACUGACCAGUGGGGGAAUUCAUGGGCAAAAUGCCAAGAAGAUACCCAAGGAACCCUACAUCCCACCGCAGAGAUAUAUGCACGCUCGUGUUCAUAAAGGCACUAUUCACAAUAGCUAAGAAAUGGAACCAACCUAGAUAUCUGCCAACAGAUGUGGAGAUAAAGAAAAUGUGGGAUAUACGUGCAAUGGAAUUCCAUCGUGAAGAACUACACAACCACUUUAUUGCAAUUGUGGCUUUCUUCAUACUAACCUGUUUUUCUUAAAAGAAGGACUCAGACUUGAAUUGUCACAACUCCCUGUGAAUGAAAGAUGUCCUUGGACAAACCGCAUUAACGGAUGUUUUGUGCCUCUGCCCUUGAAAACAACAAUUAGCCUCACCCAGCUCUUAUCAUCAGCAACAGACCCUUCUCUACCCUCAUCUGCACCAGAAACACCACUGUCUCAAGAGAGACCUCCUUGGGGUGUUGGCGAACAAAAGUGCCUGUCACAUCUGGUCACUCUCCCCUGACAUGGCCUGCCCUUGGGAAACAUGAAUGAACUGUGAACACUUGAGCCUCUUGAAGUCUAGAAAGACGGCCACUGCUCUCUUGAAACGGUUGUGCAAUCCCAUGCUGCUAUCAGGGCUGACAAGGAGGCCACUCCUAGCCUUGGACCCUUCAGCUAGGUUCAACUCCAGGUCAAGUCAGGGGCCCCCAGCAGCUUAGGGGCACAGGAUCCACAGGAAGAAAUUCCAGGACUUUGCCAGAAGCUAACAACAGUUCCCAGCUGUUCCCAGCCGCCUCCUGCCAUUCAUGCCUUUUAGAGUGGGGGUCUUUGCACAAAUUUCAUCAGAAGGAGGGUCAGAUGGACGCUUUUGCCUCUGGGUCAGGGCACAGGACAGGCCAUGGAGAAACAACAGCCUCUUUGUUGCUGUCAGCUCCUGCACAGACCCUUGACAGAGACCUCCCUCUUCCUGGAUCUCUUGGGGACCAUGACACCAGUUGUACUGCUAUGGCUAGCCUUAUGUAGUGACUUUAAGCCUCUCCUGCAAGCUCAAGGAGGGCCGAUAGCCUUGCUCUGCAGUUCCUCUGGGACACAUGCUACAGAACUCUCUUAUCAACGCAGUUCUUGAUCAGGGCACUGUUGAGUGGUAGCAAAGCAAUGUUCACCUUAGAAUAAACGUUGCUUGCCGUGGCUUCUUCUGCUCUCUUCCUCACACAGCCCACCAUAUGCCACCUCACUCCCGCCCCGUCAAACUGUUGGACCUCUUUUUAUUCAUCAUCUAGGACUCAGUUUUUAAGUCCCCACUCAGAUAUACCCUUCCUUCUAAUAUAUCCAUCCAUUCAGUGUCUACUCUUCCUUUGUGGACACCAGUCACUCACAACUGACAUUUGUAUGCACAUGAAUUUGAAUAGAGGGCACGCCCCCACUGGAACUUCAGUCUCAUGUUGGUUCACAUAGUGCCUGAUACACAGUAAGAAAUCAUGGAAGAGUUGUGGGAAAGAAUGAAUAAAUUAAAAAAUGACUUAAUCUUCAGAAUCCUAGAGGAGAAAUGUUUAUAUGUAUAAACGCUAUGAAACCCU